CUUGCUGUUAUUUCAAGCGGAGUAUAAGAUUUACCUCCCUUGACUCUCCUUCAAUGACCUCACCGAGUUGCUGACCUCAUUCCUACAGACCAACUAAAACUGUCCGCAUCCAACCAUUCAACUGUUGGUAAGCUCAUUACAGACUUUGCUUACAUCUUCUUGCAUCUCUUUACCCCCUCCUCUUGCUCACACUCCAAACUCUUUACCACUACAACCAUCGCCACCGUCGCCACCACCUUCCUUACCAUCAUUGUUGUCGUAAUUGUUUUUGUUAUGAUUAUUAACAUCAUCAUCAUCCAGUUUCACCUCAAUCCCAACGGAUCGAUCUUUCGAUUUUGCUACCACCACCACCACCACCACCACCACCACCGUCGCCGCCGUCGCCGCUGCGGCCAUCACCAUCACCACCACCGCCGCUGACACCACCACCGCUGACACCCCACCCCACCACUGUUACUAUCAUGGUAGCCACCACUGUAUCUACGAUCAUCACCACCACCACCUCCAAAUCUACCACUACAACUACCACCUUCGCCACCAUCACCACCACUAUGCUGGUACCUCUAUCACCAUAUUCAAUGAAAGUCAGCACUCACUAAUAAUCAUCCCAUUAUUUUCAUUGAAGAAAUUGUUGCUUCGAAAUCGAUUUUCUAUUCAUUCUUAAUAUUAAUCCAUUAAUCCGUUAAUCUGUUCUAUCCAGUAUUUUUUAAUUAUUUGAAUUGUUGCUAUAAAGAAGGAAUUUUAAAACAAAGAAGCACAUCUUCAUCGCUAGAAUUUAGAUUAAAAUGAUGAAGGGCUCAAUGUGGAACUUUAGAAGUGUCUUCUAUAUCAUUAUUGUUCCAUUUGCUAACAUUUGUGAAAAGCGUGUUAGCUGGUUACUUUCUUAACCCGAAAAACCUGCCGAAUGGUGUGUGUGUGUGUGUGUGUGUGUGUGUUUGUGUGUGUGUGAUAUGAGUGAUGUCUUCACAGCCUGGAGGUUUAGACGCAUUCAUAUAUCUUUUUGUUGAUCAGGUAUUUAGUAGCUAUCUCUUAUUCUUGGACAGUAAAGGCAUAAGCUUCUUAUGCCUUUACUGGGAUGGUGGUGGUGGUAGCAAAAUCGAAAGGUGAGACAUGUACUUAACACAGGUCCAAAAGCUACUAUUCCUCUCAGUGUUGUUGGGAUUCUCUAGCUUGUGGAAUAUGUAUUCACGCAUAACUUUCUGCUCGUAUGAUGAGUAUUUCUCUUCCAGGUUUCUGUUAAAUAAGUCAGCUCAACUACCCUUGGUUUGCAUGGAACAGUUGUACACUCAGCGUAUCUAUUCAGGAGUUCUUCACCGAAUUAUUUGUUAUGUUGUGUGAUGUACCCAUUUCUCCUUUAACUGUUCAGUAUGAUGCGGUUCUCAAAAACCGUCUGGACCGAUCUUAAUGCUUCUCCCUCUAGAUCAGUGAUUUUCCAAAGUGAGGCAUACGCCCCACCGGUGGGGCUCAGGAAAAUUAUAGUGGUAUGUUGUGCUGCUGUUUGUUGCCAGGCACAAGAUUCUCAUUAAAGGGAUUUCCUUUUUUUCUUCUUAGUCAGUAACGUGCAUUUUUGUUCUUAGUGCUUAAUAAAAAGAGUUACCCGUAGAUUUUUUGUAUUAAAUAAUUGUUAUAGAAUAUUAAAAAAUAAAGUCGUUUUUUUUUUCAACCACUGGUUGGGCAUACAUUUUUGUGGAAAGUUAUAGAGGGGCCUGGUGGGAAUAUGUUGAGAAAGACUGAUCUAGACCCUGUCAGUUUCACUGUCGAUGAUGAAGUUAUUAGUUACUUCCUAGUCCUGAUGUCCAAGCUGCAGAUUUCUUCAAGUGCCCAGUCUAGUACUCCAAAUAUUGGUGCUAGCACUGUCACUUCAAAAGCAUAGUGGGAUAUAGUUUUAUUGACAGCAGACAACUCUGACUUCCAUACCUUCCAAAUUCUGCUGAAGUACUCUUUUAUCACUCUAGCUUUACUCGCAGCAUCACCUUAGCUUUGCUCACAGGACUGCAAUAUUAUCCUUGAUUCCAAAGUAUUUGUAACAUCCAUCACUUGUAAUACGCGAAAUAGACAAACCAUUGAUGUCCAUAUUUUCUGUCUGGUCGCUGGUCGCCAAUCUUUUCUCAUUUCACUAUCAAAUAUGAACUCUUGUCCUGACCAAACUUCAUUCCUAUGAUGCAUGAAAAUGUUAUGACCAGUUCUGUCUCAUGGUGUCAUAAAUAUUACUUGAAGACAGUGUUAGGUCAAAAACAAAAAAUGGUGUGGAUGACAUUAGUCUUCCUUUCAUCGGUAAUUUCAAUCAUGUAGGCUUUGUAUAUCCUUGACAAGGCUGAUAAGGGGCUAACUGCUAGAACAAAAAGCAUUAAGAUAAGCUGUUACUCUGAAAUAUUCCUUCUGGUAGUCUAAUUCUGUUAGUGAUUGUGGGAGCGUCAGUUCUUAUUAAUAGCUCUGUGUACAAUGUUGCUGUCAGCCUGUACCAAAGAACUUUUCGAAUGUUAAUACUUAUAGUAUUGACUUCAGAAGAAUUAUUCGACGUAGCUCCAGACACCUUUCAUUCCUCCUCGUUGCUUCCUUCUCACUACAUUGUGUGUUUCGCAGUGAUCCUGGAGGGAUGCAUCCAAAUAAACUUUAUAUAAUUUAUACAUCAAAUUCAAAUAUGGGAUGGGCUAAUAGUUUUUGGCCACAUGCGUCUCGCGGUUUUUAGCUGCUAGUAUUGUACGCACAACUGCAAACCAGUCUGAAACAUCGAUCUCAGCAUGUAUGUAUGUAUGUAUGUAUGUAUGUAUGUAUGUAUGUAUGUAUGUAUGUAUGUAUGUAUGUAUGUAUGUAUGCAUUAUGUAUGCAUGUAUGUAUGUAUGUAUGUAUGUAUGUAUGCAUUAUGUAUGUAUGUAUGUAUGCAUUAUGUAUGUAUGUAUGUAUGUAUGUAUGUAUGUAUGUAUGUAUGUAUGUAUGUGUGUAUGUAUGUGUGUAUGUGUCUGUCUGUCUGUCUGUAUGUAUGUAUGUGUGUGUAUAUGUGUGUAUGUAUGUAUGUAUGUAUGUGUGUAUGUAUGUAUGAAGUAUGUAUGUAUGUGGAUGUGUAUGUGUGUGUAUGUAUGUAUGUUUUAUGUAUGUAUAUAUUAUGUAUGCAUGUAUUUGUGUAUAUGUGUAUGUAUGCAUGUAUGUAUGUAUGUAUGCGUGUGUGUGUGUAUGUGUGUAUGUAUGCAUACUCCUGGGUAUGACUUCAAACUGCAUCCAAUAGUGAGGCCCUGGUAUGAGAGUUCCAAGGUUUUGAGGCGUGUAGAACUACCUCUUAGCCACAAUUGUUCCUAGAUCUACCCCGACCCAGAGUAAUAGCACCUUUUAGUGUCCCAGUUAUGGGUUAAUUAGCAUGUGAACCACUGGAUGAGAAGAUCACCUACAUCCCAUUCUAACAUCCUUCUCGUAUAAAAUAUCUGAACUAUAGUCAGUUUCUAGUCGUCUCAACCGCUGUUGUGCCACUGGUUUAUAUAGCUGAUUGCUCUGAAACGUGGGUUCAGUGCUAUGCGACGUUUUAUCUACUCAAAACAAAUUCCCGCACAGGAACUUCUUGGACUCCCGGAAUGUUUGCAUGGACUUACUGAUUUUAGGAAGUGGUCUUACUCGGUCAGGAGUUGACUUCCACCAUGUAUGUAUGUAUGUAUGUAUGUAUGUAUGUAUGUAUGUAUGUAUGUAUGUAUGUAUGUCUGUCUGUAUGUAUGUAUGUCUGUCUGUCUGUCUGUAUGUAUGUCUGUCUGUCUGUCUGUAUGUGUGUAUGUAUGUAUGUAUGUAUGUAUGUGUAUGCGUGCGUGUGUAUGUAUACAUGUUUAUAUGCAUGUUUGAAUGUAUGUAAUGUGUGUAUGUGUAGGCAGUCCCCUGCUUUCUAACUGGAUGCGUUCUUGAAAAUGGGCAGGUAAGUUGAAUUUCCGAAUCUUAAAUUAUUGAAGUAUUCAUUGAUUGGGGAGGGAGGGGAGGGGCUUUUUCCACAUGAAUUACUCAGAAUCUCUGGGGGAAUGAUGACAUCCCGAAGAUAAGGAGAAAUAAGGAACAUAAGGAACAUUAUGUUCCUUACAUAAGGAACUUGAUUUCCUUACAAAGUCAUUUUAUAAUUUCCAAUGAUAAAAUAAAUUCAUGACAAAUGUGGAGAAAUAAAAAACAAUAAAUGAAUAUUGAAUUUUGGCACAAGACCAGCAAUUUCGGGGGAAACGGGAUUACAUCAACCCCAGUGUUCAACGAUCCCGAAAAGGAUGAAAGGCAAAGUCGAUCUCGGCAGAAUUUGACCUCAGAAACGGACGAAAUGCCGCUAAGCACUUUAGCUGGCGUGCUAACGGUUCUUCCGGUUCGUUGCCCUAAUUUUAUCAAAUGAAUAUUGAUAUGGCUAUACAUUUGUGCAUUAUAGAUUAAUUAUAUAUUUUUGUUCAAAACUUAUCAAGUGUUUGCCGAAUAAAUUAAUCCCUCGACUAUCGCGGGCGUUACAUUCCAAAAUCCCCGCGAUUUUGUGUAUAUUUUAUUAUUAUUUUAUUAUUAGUAUUUUAUUAUAUAUUUUAUCAUUAUUAUUUUUAUAAUUUGUAUAUAUUUAUUUUAUUAUAAAUGCAAAACAACACCACGGAGGAAUCGAUGUAGGCUUAAAUAAUAAUACGCGAUAGGUGAACCGCGAUAUAGCGAGGGAUUACUGUGUCACACUUCUCUCGAUAAAGGCAUUCAAGCAUAUUAUUGACGAUCAGAGUUUUCCUUUUAUGCAUAAUGAUGUCUAUAUCGUUGUCACUUAUGUUGUUAUAAAUAUUAGCGAAUCGUAGGGCACAGAUGAUCAGAGAUUAUUUCGUAUGGUUGUUACUUUCUUCAACUUGCUAUUAAUAUUGGUUUCCAAAUUUGGUACAAGGCCAGUAAUCUCGAGGAAGGGUUAAGUCGAUUACAUCAAUCCCAGUGCUCAACUGGUACUUAUUUUAUCGACCCAAAAGGAUAAAAGGCAAAGUCGACCUAGGUGGAAUUUGAGCUCAGAACGUAAAGAUGGACGAAAUGCCGCUAUGCGUAUGGCUCAGCAUGCUAACGAUUCUUUUCUAUUAUAGGCACAAGGCUUGAAAUUUAGUGGGAGAGGGAUAGCCGAUGACCCCGAAAGGAUGAAAGGCAAAGUCGACCUCGGCGGAAUUUGAACUCAGAACGCAGCGACGGGCGAACUACCGCUAUGCAUUUUGCCCAGCUAACGAUUCUGCUAGCUCGCCGCCUUACUUGCUAUUAAUAUUCGUAGGAUUUUGUUUACACAUUAAUAAUCCGAUCUUGGCUUUAGCGGCAAUAAUUAAUCUGCAUUUAGGAUGGAGGCAAAAUUCACCUUAUGAUCAUUGAUUGUGAUGUACUCAUCGCGUUUAGCUAAAUAUUCUAAUCCAUUGUCUAAUUUAAGUUAAUGACCGAUAUAUAUAUAUAUAUAUAUAUAUAUAUAUAUAUAUAUAUAUAUAUAUAUAUAUAUAUAUAUAUAUAUAUUUGCUUCACUAUUUCAAUCCCGGUAUGCAAUAGCGGAAACUCUGAACAUCAUUGAAAAUUAUAAAUCUCUGAAUGAAACAUUAUUAUUUUAUUAUCUGAUAAUUACACGGUACUCCUGGAUAUGAAACUUCGAGUUACGAUAUACAACCACUGAAGACUUUAUAAUUAAGAAAUAUAUGCAUACAUACAUACAUACAUACAUACAUACAUACAUACAUACAUACAUAUAUAUAUAUAUAUAUAUAUAUAUAUAUAUAUAUAUAUAUAUAUAUAUAUAUGUAUGUAUGUAUGUAUGUAUGUAUGUAUAUAUUAAUGAUAAGUAACGGGGACGUAAACAAACCAAAACCGGUUGGAAAGCGAUGGUGGGGGAUAAAUACAUACACAGAGACUCAUGCAGAUGGAUCUAUCUAUUUAUAAUACAUACAUACAUACAUACAUACAUACAUACAUACAUACAUACAUACAUAUAUAUAUAUAUAUAUAUAUAUAUAUACACUGAGCGAGAGAGAGAGAGAGAGAGAGAUGCACAAUGGCCCAGUGGUUAGAGCAGCGGACUCGCAGUUGGGGGAUCGCGAUUUCGAUUCACAGACCUGGCGUUGUGAGUGUUCAUUGAGCGAAAACACCUAAAGCUCCACGACGCUCCGGUGGGGGAGGAGAAUCCUGCUCUACACUUUCACCAAAACUUUCUCUCACGCUUAUUCUCCCCGAAAACUACGCUAAGGGUACACGUAUCUGCGGAGUACUCAGCCACUUGCACGUUAAGUUCACGAGCAAGCUGUUCCGUUGAUCGGAUCAACUAGAACCCUCGACCCCGUAACCGACGGAGUGCCACGAUAUAUAUAGGAAAAUAGAAAAUGGAGACGAACGCUCAAGGUGUUAUUAAAUCAUCUAUAUCUUCAUAUCUCCUACACAUGUUUCGAUAGAAGCAUCCAAACUACGUUUGAAAUGAUGAAAAUAACGGUCAGCUAUGCAUCAAUCUCUUCAGGGAGAAUAACAGUACUCAUCAAAUAGACAUUUUAACAGAUAUAUGAAACCCCAGACAUAUCUUAGAUGCAUACAUCAAAACAUGUGUAGGAGAUAUGGAGAUAUAAAUGAUUUAAUAACAUCUUGCUUGUUUCCGGAUUCAAAUCCCACACAAGUGUGUCCAUUGUUUCCUAGGACACUUAAGCAACAUUUAGCUCCCUUUGAAUUAUUCCCUCGGAUCGGUUGUUGCUAUAUUAUCUUUUAAACAGUUUUAAUUUAGCUUUAAGCGUAGCAAAGUUUUAAAAUAAUAGUUAAUUACAAGUACACUUUUAUUAGUACCUUUUUUUAUAAAUUUAUUGCUUUUAAUAGUUAGUGGUAAGUUUACCUUAUAGCUUAUAAGGGUAAUAUAUAUUAAGAGUAUGUGGUGUUUUUAUUAUUAACUUUUGAAUUAUGAAAUAAUGUAUUUCACUCAUAAUUAUUAUAUUAUUCAUUAAAUUCAAUGGUGUUUUUGUUUUGAAGAGAAUUGAAAUAAAGCUUUCACUUUCUGUUAUUAUAGUAAUAACUACGGAAGACUGGUGUGAUUAUUAUUUGUAUGCACUUAAAGAUUGGUCGCUAUUUAGUAUAUAAUUUAGUUAUUGUAGGUUUACAAUUAAUACCGAUACAGAUGUACAUAGAUUUAUGUGUUUCUUGUUGUAGUUUAAUCUUAAAGUUAGUGUUUAAUCCUGCCUAUAUUUGAUUGAAUACUGUUGUUCAUAGGGUAAAUGUGUUUGAAAGUCGUGUGUUUUGCUCUUUUGGUAUGUUUGUUUCCAAACAGCACCUCUUUAAGUGCUGUUGACACCGCCGGAUAGAAUAAUGGUACUACCCAGGUGUCGAAACCAUAAUGAUAUCCGUGAGGUAGCUGAUGAUGGAGGUAUGGUGGAUUGUUGGUAGGGCUGUUUGUGUGUAUGUGGAAUAGUGUUAUAACACAUCUUUUGAUAUAUAUAUAUAUAUAUAUAUAUAUAUGUAUAUAUAUAUAUAUAUAUAUAUAUAUAUGCAUAUGCAUAUAUGGGUACAGGAGGUCACAAACUGUGUAAACAACAUGGA
rnacentral:lncRNA from 1 species